AAUGCCAAGUGGGUGUGGCAGCUGACCUAUUAUUCCAGCCUCAGAGGGAGACAUAGGAUGCCCUAAGCAAGCAAGCAAGCAAGCAAGCAGGCUAGCCACAACAGGGAGCUUUGGGUUUUAUUGAGACCUCACCUCAGUGAGUAAGGUACAAGAGUGACUGAGGCAGAAUCUCAGCUUCAACCUCAAGCAUCGAUAUGCACAUGCACACAUAACCAUGCACACCACACACAAAGAAGAAUAAGGUAAGAGCUGAGGGCUUGGACAUUUGGAAAGCAAGAAGGGAAAGUGUCACAAAAGAGGCCCUCAUGAGCAGGAAAGCUACUGAAGACCUAAGGUGAGAAGACGCCUUUAUCCAGUGGGCUGGGUACAAUAGAGUCUUGCUCAGCAGGGUCCUGGCUAUCUAAGCAUGAAAAGUCUACUGUGCUGGGCAUGUCAGCACAGCACCUGGGAUCCCAGCACUGAGGAUGUAAGUCAAGAGAAUCAGCAGUUCAAGGCUAGCCUGGAC
rnacentral:lncRNA from 1 species